UGGCCUACCUUCUGUCAAAAGCCAA
rnacentral:piRNA from 1 species